rnacentral:lncRNA from 1 species
GACAGUAGUUCCAGCAUGUUCUUUACUCAGAAAACAGACUGACAAAAUGUUUUAGUAGAAAGUUAUUUUAAGCUUCUUAGUGGCUUUUCAUUGUACAAUUUACAAUUUAAAUGAGCAAAACUCUGGAUUAUGCCACAUAGUGUACCAGCUCUGUGUCCAUAUGGCAUAUUGUGAAGCAUUCACGCCGAGACAAAGCAUAGCAGAACACAUGUAAAAAUAGUCAUAAUCCAUAAUAUAGAAGAGCCAUAUACAGAACAUGAGUAAUGCUAGUCCAAAUUGAAUGAUUGGAGAAUGUGUGGGCUGUGGAAACCUACAGUACAAGUAGAACAGCAAGAUUACACCUUUAGUGCAGGUCUAGUUAUUCUAAAACACACUCAGAUUCAUAGACAUAGGAAUGGAUGAGAUAUAGAGUAUUGUAUAAACACAUCGCUGCUGUACGUUACAAACAGUUAAUGAUCCUGAGCAAACAUCAGAAUGUACAGGGUUUAUCAGCAUUGAUUAUGAGUACUGAUGAAAACGUGUGCUUAAAAAUUAAGACUAAAUUAUCAUUUGAAUAUUGACUUUACAAUAGGACAUCUCAUAAAAACAAUAUAAUAAUACACAAAGCUAAAAUAUUUUUUUUGUAUACAUUUGCAUUACGUAUUGCUGUGCAGAGGACGCAUCAUUUUCCUAUUUUCAUCAAAAGACAGAAUGCACAAUCCUGAAACAUUGUUGUAAAAAUGACAAAUCUAAACCCUAACCAGAUUGUUUUUUUUGGAGAGGGGGUGGUGUAAGGACUUUUGUGUAAUAGGUAAGGGCUCUUGGAGAUCCCUGUCUGACAGUGUCAGGGAUUGGCUGAACUCGGUAAUGCUUUCUCUUGACAAUUUUUUUUUUAAGGAUUAGAUGAAAAAUGGGCCUUGAGAAACUUUUGCACAGCUGAAAAAGCCCAUGGAGCUCUUUUGAAAAUACAAUAUUCUUUCCAAUAUUUGACCUUUUCAUACCCUUUUCAACAUAAGGCCUGGAAGAAAUAAAUGGAGGACAAUCAGUUUUGAUGCAUUCACAAUAGCAAUGCAACAGAUGAAGUGGCUUUGAAGGAGCAUAAUGCCAUGGAGAUGUGCGAGUGUAGCUGAAUGUACAGAGCAUUACACAGGUCAAACCAAUUAUUUUUGGAUUUUUGCACUUUGUUUGGUUCAUGGCUUAUUCAACAUGCUUGCUUGAAUUGUUCUUAGAUGUACUUUGUAUCGCAAACAAGAAAAACUGUUCUAUGCAAACCUCAUCUUAUAGUGAGACUAGUCGCUGACUGGUAACCACAACGUCUACUUUGUAGGUGAAGGGUAUUUCUGAGGGUAUUUCUGAGUACGGGAAAAAGGCUUUCUUGAAUGUGACUGUGGUCAGUAAACAAACAGAAAGUGAAAGUUGUUUUGUUCUUUUACUGUAUGCCAAAUUAUACUCCAUUUGAAAUGCUGUCAGAGCUAGAUGACAUCUCAGGCUUACUGGGCUAGUUGUGAUGCUUCAAUCAAACCCCACAUACACAAUCUCCCCAAACACAAACCCCACAUACACAAUCUCCCCAAACACAAACCCCACAUACACAAUCUCCCCAAACGCAAACACCUGCAGAGUGCAGACACACACAUACCACACUGUAUGCAUUUAGAAUCGGUUUACUAUUUGAAUUUCAUCAACUUAAACAGAUUGGGACAAUUCUGAUUGAGUGAUCCAGAGAAAACAAAAUGUGAUGGAGACACUAAUAACACAGGUGUUUCUGUACAGUCUGGAACCCAGCCAAGCCCAUCCCCAGCUGAUGACAUCACAGCGGUAAGGUUGAGUGGAGAAAGACAGUGCGCACGCUGUUUUGACAGACCCAGUGAUUUCAACACUACUUGAUCUUGGGUGUAAUUCGCACACACUCACAACAACCCUUGUUCCCUCAUGAUAACGCAACAAAUGAAUAGCCCUGUCAUGCCAAAGCACAUCAUGUCCAACUCCCCCUCUCCUCUGACCACUGCCAAAAAAAGUCCUUUCUCUGUAAUGCAGAGUAAGAAAUAAGCCAGCCAGCACCUCGGCCCUAAAGCUUUUGUUCACGGGGCACGAUUGAUUUCCAUUUAAAUGAAAAGAGAGCCAGGGAGCAAUGGUGGAGUGGCCUUAUACUCAGUAUGAAUGAAACAUGGGCAUCGUGGGUAUUUCCCCACUCACCCCACUACCCCUGCACUAUCCUCUCAAUUUCUCCCCACCAUACCCCCAUCCCAGCACUAUAAACCAUUAAAAUCAGACAUUCCUCAGCCAUCCAAGAGCUAUCUACAAUCAGUGAUGUGGUUGACGUUUUGAAAGGAAGCAUUUCAAAAAGGAAAAGAGAAGGGAGAUGUUGAAAAGAAAACAUCAUCAUUCACAAAGGUUGAUUAAUUCCAUCUCAGACCUCUGGCUUUUUCCACCCAUUUCUUUUCCUUUUUUUCCCUUCAUAGGUUGAGAAGAUAGGAGAACAAGCUUUAUCUUUCAACUGUAUUGGCUGUUGUCACUAAUAGGCCAAGGACAGGAUAUGUCACAGAGCUGAACAGGGAAAUUUAGUGAGGACUGGACUGGUUUAGGGUGGAUUAAACUCGCUUUUAUCAUUCAAAAAAGCCUGUUCUGAAUGCACCAAAUCAUCUCUGAAUACAGUUUAGUUUCACGACGGAGCGGAGAAACCUGUCGGAACAAUUGCAAAUGACUUCUAGCGGGAUAUUUGUUUUUCUUGUAAAAUAUAACAUUGGACAAAAGCAGCAACUGCAGAAUGCCCUUUUAAAUAUACACACAUACUUUGGGAUAUGUGGGACAGAAACAAACAAGAGACCAAAUAAAGGAAACUAAGUUUCCUUUGGAGGGGACCCAUGACACAGUAACAGAUGUUUCAGGUUUGACAAGCGUGGAAUCUUGCCUGCGAUUUGGGCUCACUAAAACAGGCAACAACACACCAAAUUAUUCUCCGACCUCCAUUUCCAUUCAGAAGGAUAUCACCGGUACAGACACAUACAAACAAACAUUCAUUCAUCUGCUCACUGACUUCGUGGACUAAUUCUAUCACUGUCUGAUCAACGUGGCAGAGGAGGAACAGAACUGGCAGAUUUAACAGAUCAUCAUUUCGAUUGGAUCGAUUUCACUCCCAGCCAAUCAUUAGUCAUUCAACAUUCACUCCUUGGUUCUGAUGAGAGGGAGAAAGGAGGGCUUCAGCAGUGCAGCUCCACUCCUGGCCUGGCUGAGAGAAGGUGUUUCUGCAGAAGAUGUGGCUUGCCUGCCUGCCUGUGGGACAGCCCUCCCUGUCC